rnacentral:rRNA from 1 species
CAGUUGGAAACGACUGUUAAUACCGCAUAAUGUCUACGGACCAAAGUGUGGGACCUUCGGGCCACAUGCUGUCGGAUGCGCCUACGUGGGAUUAGCUAGUUGGUGAGGUAAUGGCUCACCAAGGCGACGAUCCCUAGCUGGUUUGAGAGGAUGAUCAGCCACACUGGAACUGAGACACGGUCCAGACUCCUACGGGAGGCAGCAGUGGGGAAUAUUGGACAAUGGGCGAAAGCCUGAUCCAGCCAUGCCGCGUGUGUGAAGAAGGCCUUCGGGUUGUAAAGCACUUUCAGUAGGGAGGAAGAGUUGAGUGUUAAUAGUACUCAACUUUGACGUUACCUACAGAAGAAGCACCGGCUAACUCUGUGCCAGCAGCCGCGGUAAUACAGAGGGUGCAAGCGUUAAUCGGAAUUACUGGGCGUAAAGCGCACGCAGGCGGUUGGUUAAGUCAGAUGUGAAAGCCCCGGGCUCAACCUGGGAAUUGCAUUUGAAACUGGCCAACUAGAGUACGUGAGAGGGGGGUAGAAUUCCAAGUGUA